UGGGGAAUAUUGCACAAUGGGGGAAACCCUGAUGCAGCGACGCCGCGUGAGCGAAGAAGGUUUUCGAAUCGUAAAGCUCUGUCCUAUGGGAAGAUAAUGACGGUACCAUAGGAGGAAGCCCCGGCUAACUACGUGCCAGCAGCCGCGGUAAUACGUAGGGGGCAAGCGUUGUCCGGAAUCACAGGGCGUAAAGGGUUCGCAGGCGGAAAUGCAAGUCAGUUGUGAAAGGCAGAGGCUCAACCUCUGUAAGCAAUUGAAACUGUAUUUCUUGAGAUGUGGAGAGGCAAGUGGAAUUCCUAGUGUAGCGGUGAAAUGCGUAGAUAUUAGGAAGAAUACCGGUGGCGAAGGCGACUUGCUGGACACAAACUGACGCUGAGGAACGAAAGCGUGGGUAGCAAACAGG
rnacentral:rRNA from 1 species